CCCCGCCCUGCACUAGGCGGAAGCCCCCAAAGUAUCAGCGCCGCUUCGUGGAGCCUGGCGACUGCUUUGGGAAGUCCUGCUGGCAGGCACUCUGCCCCUGGGGGUGUGCAAAGAGUUGUCCAGUUACCUUGAUCUUCUCACAGCCUCCUCCCCAGGGCACCAGGAGAGACCAGGAUUGGAGGACGGUAAAGAACACACUUCCCAGAGGAUUCUUGGAGGUGGCUUCCUCCAGGCAGUAAAUCUACAGCCCAGGCUCCCUGCAUCUUAUGGCUCCAAUCACUUUGGAUCUCAUCGUCGCCUGCACAUUGCCAUACACAGGGAAGGAGAAGAGAUGGAGAAGGCAAAGACUUUCUGAAAGCCGUGGCUAAAAGCUGGCAUGUGUCACAUCAGCUCACAUUCCAUUGUAGAGACGGGGUUUCACCGUGUUAGCCAGGAUGGUCUUGAUAUCCUGACCUCGUGAUCCGCCCGCCUUGGCUUCCCAAAGUGCUGGGAUUACAGGCGUGAGCCACCGCUCCCGGCCUGGCAGGCAUUCUUGAGGCAAACGGGAAAUGGGAUACAUCAUAUAGUAUUAACUAAUGAAAUGCUUUGAUAUCUGGAACGUUUAAAAAAUAUUCCCGAUGGAGUAAGUGCAAAGAAACAGGUAAGCAAAAUGCUGAUAAUUGCUGAAACACAGGAUGUGUACCUGGGGCUUCAUUUACUAUCUCUUCAUUUUCUAUUUUGAUAUUUGUUGGACAUUCUCAUAAAAAGGAAAGUUAUGUUUUAUUUUCUCAUAAGCUAGUAAUGAAAUAGCCCUACGUAACUGAUAUUGUAGAGACAAGAAUAGGUGUAAUAGAGCUUAAGGUUUUCAUUUAAAAAACUAUCUGUAGACUUCAAUGGAUCUUAGGUGGCAUCCAUGCAAUAACACUCGUGGAACAUGCAGGACAGGUGUGGAGCUCCAUCUUCACACAGUGACAUUUUUUAUGCUUCUGUUUUCCCUAAGAGUGGAGUGAGAGGAUGAUUAUUUUAUAUCAUGGACUUCUUCCCUGCUAUACUUUUUUUAAUUAUUUUACUUUCACUUCUGGGAUACAUGUGCUGAGCAUGCAGGCUUGUUUACAUAGGUAUACAUCUGCCAUGGUGGUUUGCUGCACCUAUCAACCCAUCAUACAGGUUUUAAGCCCUGCAUGCAUUAGGUAUUCGCCCUAAUGCUCUCCCUCGCCUUUCCCCCCACCCCCUGAUAGCCCCCAGUGAGUCAUAUUCCCCUCCCUGUGUCCAUGUGUUCUCAUUGUUCAACUCCCAUUUAUGAGUGAGAAUAUGUGGUGUUUAGUUUUCUGUUCCUGUGUUAGUUUGCUGAGAAUGAUGUUUUCCAGCUUCAUCCAUGUCCCUGAAAAGGACAUGAGCUCAUUCUUUUUUAUGGCUGCAUAGUAUUCCACGGUGUUAUAUGUGCCACAUUUUCUUAAUCCAGUCUGUCAUUGAUGGACAUUUGGGUUGUUUCCAAGUCUUUGCUAUUGUAAAUAGUGCUGCAAUAAACAUAUGUGUGCAUGUGUCUUUGUAGUAGAAUGAUUUAUAAUCCUUUGGGUAUAUGCCCAGUAAUGGGACUGAUGGGUCAAAUGGUAUUUCUGGUUCUAGAUCCUUGAGGAAUUGCCACACUGUCUUCCACAAUGGUUGAACUAAUUUAUACUCCCACCAACAGGGUAAAAGCAUUCCUAUUUCUCCACAUCCUCUCCAGCAUCUGUUGUUUCCAAAUGUUUUAAUGAUUGCCAUUCCACCUGGCGUGAGAUGGUAUCUCAUUGUGGUUUUGAUUUUCAUUUCUCUAAUGACCAGUGAUGAUAAGCUUUUUUUCAUAUGUUUGUUGGCCACAUAAAUGUCUUCUUUUGACUUUUAUGUGGAAACAAAUUUAACUGCACAGAGAGGUGAAAAUUAAUUAAUAACUUUUAAAGUAAUUCCCUAAGUUUCUAAGGAUCUAUAUGUUUCCAUCUGACUUUAUUUUAUUUAAGCUCUUGAUUGAUGCUGCAUUUGGAGCAGGUUCAUGAACAUGAAUAGAGUUAAUCUGGGACAGAUUUCCCUCAUUUGAUUUUUUCACUGUUUCCAUCACAGAACUUAUUUCAUGCUCACCAUGUUUGCAGGCAUUGAGCUUGGUACUGGAGCCACAGAGCUGGAUCAGACAGACUUGUGCAAAUAUUUCAGGUUUUUUUUGUGGGGGGGUCAUAUUUAUAGAUAAAUAACAGUAAAGAGUGACGGGUUCUUAUGAAAAUGCAUACACAGUGAAGUAGAGGGUGAAAAGGAGGGAUGUGUUCUAUGAGGAGGAAGAGUGAUAAGAAAGUGUAAGGGGAUGUGUCUGUGUCUAGACAUAUGUGUGUUCACGUGUGUGCGUGCUUGUGUGUACUGCAUGUGUAUAUGUGUGGCCAUGCACCUGUGUGCAUGUUCAUGUGUGUGUGUGUAUGUGUCUGUGUUGAGGACUAAAUUAAUUGGGCUUAUGGAAGCAGGGAGCCACUGAUAGGUUUAAUUAGAGACUGACAUGAUAUGAUAGUUUAGGUGGAUUUCUCUGGGGGCUGUGUUGAGGGACAGUGGGGAGGAGAGCUAGAAGGAAGAAAAGGACACAUGCAUAACAGAAGCAAUAUCUGUCUAUGGGAUGGUGGAAAGAAUCAGAAAAGACUUAAUAAAACAUGUGACACUUUAACUGAAUCUUGAAAUAGACAAGUGUUGGAGGAGGGAGUUGGACCAGAUACUUCAUGCAAAGGGAAGAAAAGUGCACAAACAAAAUAUGAGAAACAAGGCAGACAGGCAUUUUUUUAAAAUUUUCGCACCCACUGAUAGACCAGUGAUGCAUUCACAUCGUCUGCAUUCAUGAUCAACAAAAGUGCUUUCCUAGAACAUGAACCUCAACCCAAGUGUCGCCUCAAGUAGUGUAUGCAUGAACUCAAGCAUUAAAUUAGAAUUGAUUUUUUAAAAAACUCACACAAACAGAUGUAUUAUUUAAAAAUCUUUAAAGCAGGUUUAAACAGUUUUCAGGAUUAAAAGCAGCCACUAUUAGAAAGAACAAAAAUACAUUUGACAUAAAUAUAAGGAGCCUCAAUAGAACCUCCUGUACCCAGUCAUUGUCAAUGCCACAUCCAUUCAUUCACCAGCCCUUAUAUCAAUGCUUGCUGGGCUCACUUACCACGAUCAGCACGUGCAUGUCCUUAUCUGAAAGCUUGCCACUCAAAUGUGCUCAGUCUUACCUGUGUGGCUGGGAGUGUUGGGGAUUUAAUGUCAAGGGAAAGAAUCUUCCAUCAAUGAAUGAUGAAAGUUAGUUUUCACAACUUCCGGUCCCCUUGGCCCUCAUCAAAGGGCUCCAGGUGAGGUUUGGGCUCCUUGCUAUCCUCCGAGUUUCCACGGUAGUUUUAAGCACCAUUGCCCGUGGUAAUGGCUGACAUUGAUACUGCACUUUUUUUUUAUUUAAGAUGGAGUUCCCCUCUGCCACCCAGACUGGAGUACAGUGGCGCGAUCCUGGCCAUCGCAACCUCCGCCUCCCAGGUUCAAGCGAUUCUCCUGCCUCAGUCUCUCAAGUAGCUGGGAUAUGGGCACCUGUCACCAUGCCCAGCUAAUUUUUUUAAAAUUUAUUUUUAGUAGAGAUGGGGUUUCACCAUGUUGGCCAGGCUGGUCUCGAACUCCUGACCUCAGGUGAUCCACCCACACUUUUUAUUGUUUGCCUACACUUUCUAGACUUGCUUCAUCAGCCUACUCCGUUUCUGGUUGAUAUGGUUUGGUUGUGUCCCCACUCAAAUCUUAUCUAGAAGUGUAAUCCCCAAGUCUCAAGGGAGGGACCUGGUGUGAGGUGAUUGGAUUGGGGGGUGGUUCCCGCCAUGCUGUUCUCAUGAUAGUGAGUGAGUUCUCAUGAGAUCUGAUGGUUUUAUAAGGCAGUUUUCCCUAUUCUUGCUCACUCUUCUCUCUCUUUCUGCCAUGUGAAGAAGGUCCUUGCUUCCCCUUCACCUUCUACCAUGAUUGUAAGUUUCCUGAGGCCUCCCCUCAGCCAUGCACAACUGUGAGUCAAUUAAACCUCUUUCCUUUAUAAAUUACUCAGUCUCAGGUCGUAUCUUUAUAGCAGUAUGAGAAUGGACUAAUACACUGGUCUAUCCUUCAUCCAAAUUAACUACCUGCACUGCAGUCCUUGUCUCAGGCUCUGCUUUGAGGGACCCCAACUGUGACAGCCGCAUUAGAAUGCAUCACAUACUGCAGUGAAAUUCUAGAGUGGGUGUUGUCAGGUGGUGAUGAUUGUUAGAUAUGUCAGUCUGUUUUCAGGCUGCUGAUAAAGACAUACCUGAGACUGGGUAAUUUAUAAAGGAAAAGGAGGUUUAAUGGACUCACAGUUCCACAUGGCUAGGGAGGCCUCACAAUCAUGGCAGAAGGUGAAAGGCACGGCUUACAGGGUGGCAGCAAGAGAGGAAAUGAGAACCAAGUGAAAAGGUUUCUGCUUAUAAAACCAUCAGCUCUUGUGAGACUUAUUCAUUACAAUGAGAACAAUAUGGGGGAAACUGCCCCCAUGAUUCAAUUAUCUCCCACCAGAUCCCUCCUACAACACAUGAGAAUUGUGGGUGCUACAAUUCAAGAUGAGAUUUGAGUGGGGACAAAGUCAAACCAUAUCAUUAGAUAGGACACUGGAGAAAGGCAAGAAAGAAAAGACAUCUGAAGAAUGAAGGGAGCCAAAGAAAUGCCAACAUUUUGCUUUUUGAAGAAAAGCUAAAUUAAAGUCAAAAUGGAUUUAUCAAUUUCCUUGGGUUCGUGAAUGUACAGAACUUUAUUAAGGUAAGUCAAAACUUCUCUUUUUAUACUUAACCCAACUCAAAUUGGCUUAUGUAGGGGAAACAAGAAAUCAAAACCCAAAGGAACAUGCCAGUUCAGGAAUAUACAGUUAGCUAAGCUUCUUACUGAACAAAUAAAAUCACAAAGCAUGUAUGCAGAUAGACCACAAGUGACUAUAGUGAGGUAGUUUAUUUCAGCUCUAUUUAUCUGGAAUUAAUGCUACACCAUCUGACAUAUUAAGCAGUUAUGCAUCAGGUAUCAGUAGUUACAUCUUCCAGUGCCUCUUACAGUUGCCCCUGAUGGUAUAUCUACUCGAAAGUAUGUAAGUGCACUCACAUUCUUCAACAUUUCCUCAUUAAAGCCAGAUGGAAUUGGGCUUCUUAUACUUGCUAUUCAUUCAUUUAAUAUUAUUAGAGUGUCUACCAUGUAGUAGGCAUUUUCUGUAAAUGCUGGGGAUAUCUUGAUAACAAAGACAAAACCUUUCCCCACAUAGAUCUUAAAUUUUAGUGCGAAGAGAAAGACAAUGACUAUUUUGAAGUUACGAAGGGGAUUUGCUGAUUUGAAUGCCUACUUAGGAGAUUCAGAAGUGGUUGGAUUUAGGUGCUUAGAUUAAGUCAUCAGGAAUUUCCACCUUCUACCCAUAACAGUGAGCAUCUGAAACUUACAAAACAAUAUUUCCUAUUUUACUUCAUUUUAUUUUAGAGACAGGGUCUUGCCUGUUGCUCAGUCUGGAAUGCAGUGGCACAAUCAUAGCUCACUGCAGCCUCAAUUUCCUGGGCUCAAGGGAUCCUCCCAAAGUGCUGGGAUUACAGGUAUAAGCCACCAUGCCCGGCCAAGAUACUCUAUUUUUAAUUUACAGUUUAUAUCAAGACACUGAGCCAGGGGAAUUUGAAGUCACCCAUCCAGUGGUCUUAGCAUCUUUGCUCACACACUGAAUGACUUGAUGUAAAUGACUGAAUCAGACUUGUUUGCUUAUAGCUGACACCACCGAGCAAACAUAUUCUCUCUUUCUCUGGGACAACACCUGAUAUGGUCUGGCUCUGUGUCCCCACCCACAUCUCAUCUUAAAUUGUAAUCCAAAUUGUAAUCCCCACAUGUUGGGGGAGGGACCUCAUGGGAAGUGAUUGGAUCAUGGUGGUGGUUCCCCCUGUGCUAUUCUCGUGAAAGUGAGUGAGUUCUCAUGAGAUCUGAUGGUUUUAUAAGGGGCUCUUCCCCCUUCAUUUUGCACUUCUGUCUCCUGCUGCCUUGUGAAGAAGGACAUGUUUGCUUCCCCUUCCACCAUGAUUGUAAGUUUCCUGAGGCCUCCCCAGCCAUGCCAAACUGUGAGUUAAUUAAACCUCUUUCCUUUAUAAAUUAUCCAGUCUCGGGUAUUUCUUUAUAGCAGCAUGAAAAUGGACUAAUACAGCACCUAUCUCCCAGUAUUGUAUUUUCACAAUGGAAGUUUUAAUCCAGGGAUGUCUAAUCUUGUGGCUUCCUAGGCCACACUGGAAGAAGAAUUGUCUUGGGCCACACAUAAAAUACACUAACACUAAUGAUAGCUGAGAAGCUAAAGAAAAAUCACAAAUAAAUCUUACAAUGUUUCAAGAAAGUUUACGAAUUUGUAUUGGGCUAUCCUGGGCUGCGUGCAGCCAUGGGCUAUGGGUUGGACAAGCUUGGUUUAAUCCAUAGAUGGAGCAUUCUACACAGCUCCCUUAAAGAUGUUCCAGAAGUGCUGACUCUGUGUCAGGCACCAUGUUCACCACUUAGAUGUUCGUUUAAUCCUUACAAAAGAGCCAUGGAGCAUGGACUGUUACUGUGGCAGAUGUGUUAGCCUCCUGUGGUUGCCAUAACAAAAUACUACAAACUGCGUGGCUUAAAACACCAGGAAUUUAUUCUCACUGUUCUAAAAGACGGAAGUCCGAAAUCCAGGAGUCAACAGGGCUGUGCUCCUUUUUGAGGCUCUAGGGAAGAAUACUUCCUCCCCUCUUCCAGCUUCUGCUGGCCACAGGUGUUCCUCGGCUUGUGGCCACAUCACUCCAAUUGCUGCCUCCAUCCCACAUAGCCUUCUUCCCUAUGUGUGUGUUCUCACAUGGUCUUUGUAUAAGGAUAUCAGUUAUGGGAUUUAGUUCCUACCAUAAUCCAUCAUGAACUCUACUGCACUAAUUACGUCUACAAAGGCCUUAUUGCCAAAUAAGGUCACAUUCUGGGGUUUCAGGUGAAUAUAAAUUUUGGAAGGACACUAUUCAACCCAGUACAACAAGUAAAAUUUAAAAAGGCACCCUUUUACCUUGGCAUGUUAUCUCACUUGAUUUUUAUAACAGCCCUGUAGAUUAAACAGAUAAUAUGUUAUAUUCCCACUUCUAGAUAUCAUCACCCAUUAUUUGAGAGAAUGGAAAUGAAGUUCAGGGCUGUUAACACUCCUGCCACUGAAACAUCCCAGGCCAGUGACCUUUUCAUGUCUGACCUAACAGGUGGUUUCCAACCACAGUUACUUGUGACAUCAUUCCAUCACUCCCCAUACACAUUCCCUGUAGAUCAACUUAUCUGGCCCUACAAUUAUAGUUACAGGGAAUUUUACAUUCUUCAUCUUCCACAGGCAACUGAAUCUUCUGGGACAAAAAGCAUAUGUUCUCCCAUAGUAAUAAAAUUUCCCUUUUUUAGCCUGGCAUGUGACUGCCAAUAAUAACACUUCCCAGACUCUCAGGUGUCCACGUCUAUCCAAAGGGAAAUAUAGUCAGUGAUAACUUCCAGACAUAGAUGAAACAUGCCACACCUUAUAGUCACUUUAUGGGGUUCAUUCUCUCUUCCCAUAGACUGUCAUGCUGUCAUCAUGGCUGGAUCUGAUACGGCCACCGUGGACCUUGAGGUGACCUCGGGAAUGGAGACAGUGCAUGGGAGAGAAUCACAUUGGAAGGGGCCUGGGUUUCUGAAGACCCUGUAAGACAGAUCUCCUUGCAGCCCUGACUGCCCACAUUAGGGCUUUUAUGUUAGGGUGAAGUUACCUUGCAUUGUCAUAUAAGCAAUUGCUAUUUGUGGUGUCUUGCAAAUAAACCUAUUCUGAUCUAGUAUGUUUCCUAAAAAACAAAAGUUUGAACCCAGCUCUUUACGUGUUACAUGUUCUGAAUACAAAAAUAAGACCCAGUUUCUGCCCCCUAGCAGGACCCAAAACCCCUCAGUGAAGGCAUACACCAUAGGAAUAAUCUCACAAGUACUUU
rnacentral:lncRNA from 10 species